rnacentral:rRNA from 1 species
UUCCCAGACUCCUACGGGAGGCAGCAGUGGGGGAUAUUGCACAAUGGGCGCAAGCCUGAUGCAGCGACGCCGCGUGAGCGAAGAAGUAUUUCGGUAUGUAAAGCUCUAUCAGCAGGGAAGAAAAUGACGGUACCUGACUAAGAAGCUCCGGCUAAAUACGUGCCAGCAGCCGCGGUAAUACGUAGGUGGCGAGCGUUGUCCGGAAUUACUGGGUGUAAAGGGAGCGUAGGCGGGAGAGCAAGUCGACUGUGAAAUCUAUGGGCUUAACCCAUAGCUGCGAUCGAAACUGUUCAUCUUGAGUGAAGUAGAGGCAGGCGGAAUUCCUAGUGUAGCGGUGAAAUGCGUAAAUAUUAGGAGGAACACCAGUGGCGAAGGCGGCCUGCUGGACGAUGACUGACGUUGAGGCUCGAAAGCGUGGGGAGCAAACAGGAUUAGAUACCCUUGUAACG